rnacentral:rRNA from 1 species
GAUGAACGCUAGCGGUGUGCCUAAUGCAUGCAAGUCGAACGGGAUCCUUUGGAUUCGUCUGAAGGUGAGAGUGGCGAACGGGUGAGUAACACGUAGGUGACCUGCCCCGGAGAGGGGGACAACCACUGGAAACGGUGGCUAAUACCCCAGAUGUUAUUGCGCUUAGAAAGCAAUUACUAAAGUUCCGGCGCUCCGGGAGGGGCCUGCGGCCCAUCAGCUUGUUGGUAAGGUAAUGGCUUACCAAGGCUAAGACGGGUAGGGGGCGUGAGAGCGUGACCCCCCCACACUGGUACUGAGACACGGACCAGAUACCUGCGGGUAGCAGCAGCAAGGAAUAUUGCCCAAUGGACGAAAGUCUGAGGCAGCAACACCGCGUGGAGGAUGAAGGCCUCGGUUGUAACUACCUUUCUGGGGUAAGGAGAAAGGACGGUAACCCACGGAAUAAGUCUCGGCUAACUACGUGCCAGCAGCCGCGGU